ACAUAGCCACUAGCCAACAAAAGUAUUAGAGGUAACACCUGCCCAGUGAGUGAACCACUUUAACGGCCGCGAGAACCAACCGCGCGAAGGUAGCAUAAUCACUUGUCCCCUAAAUAGGGACUAGAAUGAAAGGUUGCAUGAGAAAGAAACUGUCUCCUCCGGCAGGUCGAUGAAACUGAUCUAUCAGUACGAAAGCUGAUAUACAAAAACAGGACAAAAAGACCCUGUGAAACUUUUAAACCUAAUCAAAACCAUCAUUGACCAAGGUUUUUAGUUGGGGCAACUAAGGAGAAACAAAACCUCCAUACACUGCCAAGUCCAACAAGACAAAGCACAACACAAAAAUCUGACCCAGUAUAACUGAUCAAAGAACCAAGCUACUCCAGGG
rnacentral:rRNA from 1 species